rnacentral:lncRNA from 10 species
CAGCACCACAGAGGCCUGAGCCUGGAACUGUCCUUUUUCUUUGCAGUGACAAAAUCCAAAUGCCCCUCUUAUGUGGGUAUUACAGGAAUCCUUCUACAGGAAACAAAGCACAUUUUCAAAAUUAUCACCAAAGAAGACCGCCUGAAAGUUAUCCCCAAGCUAAACUGCGUGUUCACUGUGGAAACCGAUGGCUUUAUUUCCUACAUUUACGGGAGCAAAUUCCAGCUUCGGUCAAGUGAACGGUCUGCGAAGAAGUUCAAAGCGAAGGGAACGAUUGACCUGUGAAUUCUUUGCCGUCUAAGGCAGUUGUUUAUGACAGCUGAAAACUGGACACUCCCUAAAUGUCCACCUUUCAGUGAAGAGAUAGUUAAGCCAAUUCCAUUUAUAGACCACCUCCAGCCAGUGACGCUCCGAGUUGAGGAUGUUGAACAACAUGGGAAGGUCGCAGCGUACUAAGUGAAGAAGUCAGAGGACAGAGGAAUUUCUCUUUCUAGGAGAUUUUCAUUUUGUGUGACUCCCAUGGGGAGGAACAGACUGGCAGGAAGCACACCGGGGUUAACACUGGUUGACUUGAAUAGGAUUAUUCGAUUUUUAAAAAUACUUUUCCA